GCUUGUCUCAAAGAUUAAGCCAUGCAUGUCUCAGUAUAAGCUUUUACACGGCGAAACUGCGAAUGGCUCAUUAAAACAGUUAUCGUUUCUUUGGUGGUUAUUGAUUACAUGGAUAACCGUGGUAAUUCUAGAGCUAAUACAUGCUAAAAACCCCGACUUCGGAAGGGGUGUAUUUAUUAGAUACAAAACCAAUGCCCUUCGGGGCUCCUUGGUGAUUCAUGAUAACUAUACGAAUCGCACGGCCUUGCGCCGGCGAUGGUUCAUUCAAAUUUCUUCCCUAUCAACUUUCGAUGUUUGGGUAUUGGCCAAACAUGGUUGCAACGGGUAACGGAGGGUUAGGGCUCGACCCCGGAGAAGGAGCCUGAGAAACGGCUACUACAUCCAAGGAAGGCAGCAGG
rnacentral:rRNA from 1 species